rnacentral:misc_RNA from 1 species
GAUGAAGAACGUAGCGAAAUGCGAUAAGUAAUGCGAAUUGCAGAAUCCGUGAAUCAUCGAAUCUUUGAACGCACAUUGCGCCCGUCAGUAUUCUGGCGGGCAUGCCUGUUCGAGCGUCAUUACGCCCCUCAAGUCCCCUGUGGACUUGGUGUUGGGGAUCGGCGAGGCUGGUUUUCCAGCACAGCCGUCCCUUAAAUUAAUUGGCGGUCUCGCCGUGGCCCUCCUCUGCGCAGUAGUAAAACACUCGCAACAGGAGCCCGGCGCGGUCCACUGCCGUAAAACCCCCCAACUUUUUAUAGUUGACCUCGAAUCAGGUAGGACUACCCGCUGAACUUAAGCAUAUCAAUAAGCGGAGGA